AUGCUUUCUCUCCCUCUCCUCUCCAAAUCAAGCCCCCCUCCCCACGCCCACAUCCCAUCCUGGCCUUCAUCAUGGCCCNNNNNNNNNNNNNNNNNNNNNNNNNNNNNNNNNNNNNNNNNNNNNNNNNNNNNNNNNNNNNNNNNNNNNNNNNNNNNNNNNNNNNNNNNNNNNNNUAUACACACACACACACAUAUACUUAAAUUUCCCUCAACCCUACAUCUUAUUUCCCCUUCCUCCUCUCUUGCCCUAGUCUCACCAGCUGCACUCUUGAAACACAUAUCUACUCUCCUAUUCUGCGAUCAGUGCCGCGGCAGACAGGAGCAACAGCAGAAGCCGGAGCCGGAGCCCGGGAGGCGCCGCCGCCGCCGCCGCCGCACACUGGGGUCCGCUCGGCAGCACAGCACUCGCCAUGUCGGGCACCUGCCUCAGACUGGCGGCGGUGGCUUCCUCCGGAGCCCGAGCCGACAGCUAAUGAGAUGCUAAUGACAUGCGCUGGAGGCGGAGUCCCGGCCGACCAAUCACGUCGCCGCGAGCCGAACCCGGCUCUCGGAGGACUCGCCCCCUCCCCCACCCCUCCCCUUGGCGCUGGGGUUCGGCGGCCCGCCCGCGCCACCUAGGGGCGGGGCCAGGGGGAGGGGCGUAUGCAAAUAUGUUUAUGUUAAAAUUCGUUUUCGCUUCCCCCGGAUCCAGGAAAAAGUGUUCUCCUGGGCCUCUGGCGUGUAAGGGGCUUCAGCUCCGGGGGCGGGGUCUAGCUUCCUGUACACCUUUAUUAGGAAUGUUUAUAGCCAUCGCUCCAGGAGACCGACGAUAAGAAUCUCCCUGGGAGGCUCCCCUGCCCGGUAUACCGGGUGCAACCGGCCGGGGAACCAAACGUUGCAAAUUUCCGUCACUCACCUUGCACCGAAGGAAUAGAUCUUUGGGAAUCGGGGGCUGUUCGAGAGUAGAGAGUGAGAAGGCAGGUCCCCGGAUUGACAAAACAAUCUGGGAGAAGUGCAUGCGUGCUUUGCACGUCCGGCAGAGCGGGAGAGCCCGCUCAACAACCUAGCGGUAGACUUGAGCAUAGUUGGGAGAAAGGAGCCGGAAUCCGGCUUUCGGAUUUUCGAGUCGGUGUCUUUGCGGUAGAUUCUCGGGAAAAGUAGAUCGAGGAGGGUUGACUCAGGAUCCCCCCAGCAUGCCGAAAGCCUCCUACCUGGCUUUAAUAUAUAUGUCACAGAUGUGAAUUUACAUGAUGCACAUGUAUUAUUAGAUAUUUACGAUUACACACACUCAACAGAAAAUCUUUUCUGUGAAGACUUCGGGGUGGAGGGCGGAGGCAUGGGAUGUGAAGACAGGGUCUGCCAUCGUCUUCCUUCAGGACUCAAACCCACUCCCCUUGCCGCCCCUUUGCCCUUACUCGCGCCUUAGAUGGCUGGGGACCAACAGGUGUUCUGAGCUUCCCGCGUCUCUGGGAGAAAGAAGCUCUAGGCUGAAGCGACUCGCUUCUCCGGACUCGCUCUCCCUCCCCGAAAUUGCCUUUGCUUUCUUCUCAACCAGGCAGCCGGCUCUCUUGUUUGUCUGCUUUUUAAUUACUUAUUUUCUUCCUCUCUAGAAGAUCGUGUGCGCUCUGACCCUCUGUUGCUCAAGCAUCAAAUUGAAGGACGAGCCAUAUUAAGUGUAAAGGUUUAUAAUAAUUUAAGUAUUCAUAGGAUGCAGAACAAUAAGAUGUAGGAAAUACAAUUUGCAUAAUAAAUAUCAAUAUCACAACAGCUAAAACAAACCAUGACAAAUUAUCUGUGGCUAAAUGACCAAGAGAUUACUGAAUGUAAAUUGCUGUCUUGAGCUAUAGUCUAGAGGAGCCCUCUGAACUCAUCUUGCUAAAAAAAAAAAUAAUAAAUAAAUAAAUGUUACAUAUCAAAAAGGAAAUCAAGAUCUGCCAACCCACCAAAUGAGUUACACUUAAAAACAGCCUCCUAUUAUCCAUUAUGCAUAAACUAAUUUCAAGACUGCCCUGUCUUCACAGCCCUGGAUAUUCUGCUCUGUAAUUACAGGCCCUAAUACAUGAACUGCAGGCAGUCCUCCAGAAGUCAAAAAGCUCCAGCAGGCAGACAGCACUACAGGAGGCUGGAAACCAUCACCACAUGGUCACUGGGAUAAUGACCAGUCGGCAAAGUCCGACCUGUUCUUAUCACUCCCGGAAGUAAAGCUACCUCGAUCAGAUUAAAUCCAAAGCAGUGUCCCACCACGAUCAGGAGAAAAACGCUGACACCAUAAGUAUGCUAAAAGACAUGGCUCAGAUGGUUAAGAAUCUGCCCGCAAUGCAGGAGACCGGAGUUUGAUCCCUGGGUGGGGAAGAUGACCUGGAGAAGAGAAUGGCAACCCACUCCAGAAUUCUUGCCUGGAGAAUUCCGUGGACAGAGGAGCCUGG
rnacentral:lncRNA from 1 species